GGUACACUUGCCAGAGACAACACAAGCACAUGGGAAUCUUAACGUAAUGAGAGGCUUUGAUCAUCAGGAUCUUUCAGCACCCUGCGUCUCCUCAAGUCUGAGGAGAGUAAGACAGAGAGACAGAAAGACAGGGAGAAGGGCACAUACCAAGAUCCUUUGUGUAGGAGCUAAAAGGUGGGCAUGACAGGCAUGCAACAAAUGGGCUCCAUGUGCGGCCACAUCAAUGCUGACCAGUCCUUAAAAGAGCAGCGAGAACAUCAAAACCCGCAUAAUGGCAAGGGUACAUCUGGCUGGUAUACUCUAAAGAAAAGCAAUCAGACCAUCUGGAGAGAACACACAUACACACAUGCUCUCAGUGAAAGGCCGCAUGAUUGCCCAUUCAGUGGCUUCAUAACAAACACAACCUCAGCAUCUGGCUCUGCAGCGGUCAGCCAUUUUAAUUAUGCAGCACAUGGAUUUCCUCCCAGAGCGAUGAAGGCUCUUUCUGGAAUAAUCCUGCCAGAUGGAGUAUCAGGCUGCUGCUGACCAACCCAUGAGGCAAGAAGCUGCUGUUAAAAAACCUGAUGCAUUUUUAGCUCACUUUUUUUCUGUCAUGCAAAUGACAGCAAGGAGCUAUCAUAGCAGAGAGAAAAACUCUCUCUCUCUCUCUCUUUCUGUCUUUCUGUUUGUAGUUUGUGCUGAUGUUGAUUACUUGUAAUUAUGCUUAGAAGGGUCAAUUCAUUCAAAUAUUCAACUUUAUAUAUAUGCACACACACAAACACUCUCUCCCUCUCUCUCUCUCUCUCUCUCUCUCUCUCUCUUAGUACCGUAACAUAACAGCAGUUUUUCCAUACUGCAGGUUUUUAUCCAGUUGCCCUUCAGCCUAUAUUGUAAAUGUCCCUGUAAGCCCACACAAAAUGGCAUAUAUUGGAAAUAUAAUACAGUAUAUCAAAAAACUGGCAACUUAGA